rnacentral:rRNA from 1 species
UUGCACAAUGGAGGAAACUCUGAUGCAGCAACGCCGCGUGGAGGAUGACGCAUUUCGGUGUGUAAACUCCUUUUAUAUGGGAAGAUAAUGACGGUACCAUAUGAAUAAGCACCGGCUAACUCCGUGCCAGCAGCCGCGGUAAUACGGAGGGUGCAAGCGUUACUCGGAAUCACUGGGCGUAAAGCGCGCGCAGGCGGCCUUUUAAGUUGGAUGUGAAAGCCUACGGCUCAACUGUAGGACUGCAUCCAAAACUGUUAGACUAGAGUGUGGGAGAGGAAGAUGGAAUUAGUUGU